GACAACAUGUAUCACCCAUUGUUUACACAUGUAUCAUGUAGAUUAAAUGUAUCGGUUUAUAUAAUUUAUUUAUUCAGAAUCAUAAAUGUAUAAUUUGAUUAAGAAGCAAUUAUGUAGAAGUACAUGCUCCACUGUGGUUUAUUUUCAAUACAUAAAAAUUCACAAAUGAGUUCGGGAUCGGUAUUCAAUCGGGGUCAAGGUCGAAGUGAAAGUAGACAGCAGAAAGUUAUCAAAACUGUUCAGGGCAGUGUUAAGCAGUAUAUAGGUGAUGGGCAUUUGUAUUUUACACAGGAGGUUUAUGGUGAUUGGUUCAGGAAAAAAAUGAGGUCCAUGCAGAUGGUGUUUAAAACUAUUGGCCAGCAAAUGCACACCCAUUUGAAUACAUCUUGAAAAAGAACCAGCAAAAUGUGACAGUCGGCAAAAUAUAGGUUCCCGCAGACAGACGCAUUUUGCCGGAAAACGAAUCUGACAUGCCACCUCGAGAUUUUAACCAAGGAAAGACAAGUUGAUGUGCUUUGAUUUGAGGGGUCACUCACUACCGAACGAAAAUUAGGGACAUCGCUAUGAGAAGAAACGUUAACAUUGUCGCCUAUGGGAAAACAAUUAGUGGACUGUACCCAUAUAUAUG